AACGAACGCUGGCGGCAGGCCUAACACAUGCAAGUCGAGCGAUCGCAGCAAUGCGGGAGCGGCAGACGGGUGAGCAACACGUGGGAACGUACCCUUCGGUUCGGAAUAACUUGAGGAAACUUAAGCUAAUACCGGAUACGUCCGAGAGGAGAAAGAUUUAUCGCCGAAGGAUCGGCCCGCGUCUGAUUAGCUAGUUGGUGAGGUAAUGGCUGACCAAGGCGACGAUCAGUAGCUGGUCUGAGAGGAUGAUCAGCCACAUUGGGACUGGGACACGGCCCAAACUCCUACGGGAGGCAGCAGUGGGGAAUAUUGGACAAUGGGCGCAAGCCUGAUCCAGCCAUGCCGCGUGAGUGAUGAAGGCCUUAGGGUUGUAAAGCUCUUUUACCUGGGAAGAUAAUGACGGUACCAGGAGAAUAAGCCCCGGCUAACUUCGUGCCAGCCGCCGCCGUAAGAC
rnacentral:rRNA from 1 species